CAAGUACUCCCUCCGUCCGAAAAUACUUGUCAUAGAAAUGGGUAAAAUGGAUGUAUCUAUAACUAAAAUAAGUCUAGAUACAAUCAUUUUUAGGACAAGUAUUUCCAGACGGAGGGAGUACUUG
rnacentral:pre_miRNA from 1 species